rnacentral:rRNA from 1 species
CAGUAGCCGCGGGAAUACGGAGGGUGCAAGCGUUAAUCGGAAUUACUGGGCGUAAAGCGUGCGUAGGCGGUUCGUUAAGUCUGUUGUGAAAGCCCCGGGCUCAACCUGGGAAUGGCAAUGGAUACUGGCGAGCUAGAGUGUGUCAGAGGAUGGUGGAAUUCCCGGUGUAGCGGUGAAAUGCGUAGAGAUCGGGAGGAACAUCAGUGGCGAAGGCGGCCAUCUGGGACAACACUGACGCUGAAGCACGAAAGCGUGGGGAGCAAACAGGAUUAGAUACCCCAGUAGUCCCUGUCUCUUAUAC